rnacentral:rRNA from 1 species
GACGAACGCUGGCGGCGUGCCUAAUACAUGCAAGUUGAGCGCUGAAGGUUGGUACUUGUACCAACUGGAUGAGCAGCGAACGGGUGAGUAACGCGUGGGGAAUCUGCCUUUGAGCGGGGGACAACAUUUGGAAACGAAUGCUAAUACCGCAUAAAAACUUUAAACACAAGUUUUAAGUUUGAAAGAUGCAAUUGCAUCACUCAAAGAUGAUCCCGCGUUGUAUUAGCUAGUUGGUGAGGUAAAGGCUCACCAAGGCGAUGAUACAUAGCCGACCUGAGAGGGUGAUAGGCCACAGUGGGACUGAGACACGGCCCAAACUCCUACGGGAGGCAGCAGUAGGGAAUCUUCGGCAAUGGACGAAAGUCUGACCGAGCAACGCCGCGUGAGGGAAGAAGGUUGUCGGAUCGUAAAACUCGGUUGGUAGAGAAGAACGUUGGUGAGAGUGGAAAGCUCAUCAAGUGACGGUAACUACCCAGAAAGGGACGGCUAACUACGUG